AGGGCACCACCAGGAGUGGAGCCUGCGGCUUAAUUUGACUCAACACGGGAAAACUCACCCGGCCCGGACACUGGAAGGAUUGACAGAUUGAGAGCUCUUUCUUGAUUCAGUGGGUGGUGGUGCAUGGCCGUUCUUAGUUGGUGGAGUGAUUUGUCUGGUUAAUUCCGAUAACGAACGAGGCUCUAGCCUAUUAAAUAGAUCGUUGGCUUACAAACGCCGGCGAGACUUCUUAGAGGGACAGGCGGCGAUUCAGCCGCACGAAACAGAGCAAUAACAGGUCUGUGAUGCCCUUAGAUGUCCGGGGCCGCACGCGCGCUACACUGAAGUGAUCAGCGUGCAUUUUGAAACCUACUCUGUCAAGAGUGGGGAACCCAAUGAACCUUCUUCGUGAUUGGGAUAGGGGAUUGUAAUUAUUCCCCUUGAACGAGGAAUUCCCAGUAAGCGCGAAUCAUAAGUUUGCGCUGAUUACGUCCCUGCCCUUUGUACACACCGCCCGUCGCUACUACCGAUUGAAUGUUU
rnacentral:rRNA from 1 species